UUCAAGUAAGUCAGAUAACAUGCGUAACACCUAAAGACACUGGGAAGUGUCCGAGAUAGAACCACAUCCAGACGGACAGGCUCCAGACCUGGAGAUUCCACCGGCAUCUAGAUACUGUUUUCUCAAGAACUCCAACUAUGAGAAUUUUGAGAACUUGGGAGCUUAAGGGAAACUUCUUUGGGAUCACUCUUGCUAAGACUAUGUAAGGAGAGCAGGUGGAGGUGGAACACCCACUGCUUCCGUGGCCGGCAUUUUCCCACCUACAGACCUCAAGGAGAGCAACCAGCAGGGUGUCCAUCGGGGACAGGCAAGAACUGGUCUGGGAAGAGGAAGAGCCAGUGAACCCCUCUGCCAAUCCUUUUCACAUACGCACUGGAGGAGGAAAAGGAAGACCAAGAGGAAGAGGAAGAAGAAGAAAAGAGAAACUUUGAUAUGGGUCAAAGCCAAGGAAAC